CGAGCGGGCUUCCGCCGGCUGGCUGCGACGGCGCGGUAGAGGCGAGCGUAGAGCACCACGGUGGCUGUCAGCGCCAGCAGAGACGCCGCCAGGCAGAAGGCCACGUAGCUGCGCGCGUAGAGUGGGAGCAGCGUGGAGCACUCGCUCACAUGCCCCAUGCAGUUCCAGCCAAGGCUGGGCAGCACCGCCACCAGGACUGCCACGGCCCAGCAUGCCCCCACGGUCGACUCGACCUGAAAUGAGGUCUGGAUACAGUGUGUCAAUAUCAGCGCUUGGGAGACAAAGGUGGCCUGGCGUGGUGCUGGUCACAUCACCCCCUUGUGCGCCAUGCCGGACUUAAUAGAUCCCACAGCUGUUGCAAAGUCACCUGAACUCGAUGGUCUGUGCUUCAGGUCGUCCCCUUGUUACAACAUGGGUCGACACGUCCUUUAAGUGUAUCACCUCGAGAAGAUUUUCUGGAAUUCGACUGAGAUCUUGAACAUAUUCCUGACAUGCGUAGCACAAGAAGUGCUGUACACACACACAUACAUGCACACAUGAAUCAAUAUACACUCACACGUACACACAACAACACCUGUCAUUGACGUCGCCACGGCACUUGUGCCAGGCCAGAUGCACUUUGAGGCCACGUACACACAGGCACAUUCACACAUCCAUACAAGAAUAAAAUUGACUUGACUCCAUACGCAUACGUACAAACAUUCUCACACACUGUGCAUUAAUACAACGAACCCACCUCCUUGCAUGGUGCCUUAACCUAUUUUCAUUGACCCAGUUCUUUUCUGACCUCUUUACUAUUACACCAGAAACCCCGUUGACCUAGCCAGAAACUCACUUCUUAUCCUUGCAAUGCUGACCUAUUUCCCCACUUGGAUACACUGACUACUUGACCCAGUUGUUGACUCAUUGAACCACUGAACCAGCUAUUAUCGACAUACUGGCCGCUUGACCCAAUGACACUCCUUCUUGGCUCAGUUGCUGCCUUACCAAACUUCCCACUGAUAGUCUGACCCCUUGAAUAUAAGCUCUUGCCCCACUUAUAUAUUGAUCCACCGACUUACCUCUCCAUCUAGAUAUUUACUCUUUACCCCGCUGAACUAUUCACUCACCGACCACCUGGCCCCAUUCGCUGACCGAUUGACCCACUGACCCGCACG